rnacentral:rRNA from 1 species
GAUGAACGCUGGCGGCGUGCCUAAUACAUGCAAGUCGAGCGAACGGACGAGAAGCUUGCUUUUCUGAUGUUAGCGGCGGACGGGUGAGUAACACGUGGAUAACCUACCUAUAAGACUGGGAUAACUUCGGGAAACCGGAGCUAAUACCGGAUAAUAUUUUGAACCGCAUGGUUCAAAAGUGAAAGACGGUCUUGCUGUCACUUAUAGAUGGAUCCGCGCUGCAUUAGCUAGUUGGUAAGGUAACGGCUUACCAAGGCAACGAUGCAUAGCCGACCUGAGAGGGUGAUCGGCCUCACUGGAACUGAGACACGGUCCAGACUCCUACGGGAGGCAGCAGUAGGGAAUCUUCCGCAAAGGGCGAAAGCCUGACGGAGCAACGCCGCGUGAGUGAUGAAGGUCUUCGGAUCGUAAAACUCUGUUAUUAGGGAAGAACAUAUGUGUAAGUAACUGUGCACAUCUUGACGGUACCUAAUCAGAAAGCCACGGCUAACUACGUG